rnacentral:rRNA from 1 species
GCAAUACCUGAUGACGACCGGCAAACGGGUGCGGAACACGUACGCAACCUUCCCAAAACUGGUGAAUAGCCCUCCGAAAGGAGGAUUAAUACACCGUAACAUAAUGAAGUGGCAUCACUUUAUUAUUAUAGUUCCGACGGUUUUGGAUGGGCGUGCGCAUGAUUAGAUAGUUGGCGGGGUAACGGCCCACCAAGUCUACGAUCAUUAACUGGUGUGAGAGCACGACCAGUCACACGGGCACUGAGACACGGGCCCGACUCCUACGGGAGGCAGCAGUAAGGAAUAUUGGUCAAUGGACGCAAGUCUGAACCAGCCACGCCGCGUGAAGGAUGAAGGCCCUCUGGGUUGUAAACUUCUUUUAUCUGGGACGAAAAAAGAGUAUUCUUACUCACUUGACGGUACCAGAGGAAUAAGCACCGGCUAACUCCGUGCCAGCAGCCGCGGUAAUACGGAGGGUGCAAGCGUUAUCCGGAUUCACUGGGUUUAAAGGGUGCGUAGGUGGAUAUUUAAGUCAGUGGUGAAAUCUCCGAGCUUAACUCGGAAACUGCCAUUGAUACUAUUUAUCUUGAAUGCCCUGGAGGUAAGCGGAAUAUGUCAUGUAGCGGUGAAAUGCUUAGAUAUGACAUAGAA